GGAUGUGAGGGCCAUCUGGCUGUGACAUCUGUCACCCCAUUGAUCACCAGGGUUGAUUCAGCUGAUCUGGCUGGCUAAGCAGGUGUCCCCUUCCUCCCUCACUCCAUGUGCGUUCCCCCCAAAGCUGCACGCUCGGUUGAAGAGGACGACCAUCCCCGAUAGAGAAGGACUGUUCUUCUGUCAAGGGUAUGAGAAGCUGCGCUCCCUUGCUAGAACCUCCAAACAAGCUCUCAAGGCCCUGAGUUCAACCCCCAGUACUGCCCCUAUCCCCAAAAAAGAUAAAAAGAAAAUUCACAACAAAGAGUCAUCAAAUAUAGUUAUUGUGGUAAGCAAUGCAAAAGUAAUA
rnacentral:snRNA from 1 species